ACACAUAUGCCCAGGUGACAUGCUGUUCUACAUGUGACCUCACCAUAUGUGUU
rnacentral:pre_miRNA from 1 species